UACAUAUAUGUAAUUCCUAAUGCUUACAGACGCUGAAAUUUGUACUAUGGUUCUUAAGAGAUUUUGUGGAGGUAAACAGCAUUACAUGAAGUACAUCGAAUUGAAGGGAUACUAAAUAAAAUGUAUGAACUCCAACUGUUUUUAAGACAGAUUCCUACCAAUAGUUCAUCAACAUUGUGUUGAAUUCCACUGGAUGUCUCUAUAAAUUUUGCAUCGUGUGAAGCAGCUAACGCUUUUCCUUCUAAAGACGAAACGAGAGAAAAUCAGGAUUUAUUGCAUAAUAUAUUCGGAAAUCAGCGCAGAUUACUCCAUUAAGAGACCCUGAUUUCUUCUGAUGCUAGUUACCUAAGUUUUAUGGAGAGCAUGUAUGUAGCGAGCGUGUUUUUCUUUGCGCCAGGUACGUCAUCAUCGCUUCUAAAUAUAUUUAUUAGCUUAAACUGUAUAGUGUACUUUACUUUCCAUCAUUCUCUUUUUAAUUAACAAGGCAACAUAACAAGCAAGGAAGGCUAAGUUUAGGUUUAACAGAAAAUGUUAUACUCUUGCAACUUGCAGGGAUCAAAUAAUAACAUUUGGCAUAAUAAUAAAGUUUGGCAUAACUAUGUACAUAUGUAUAUUAAAAACUAUAUUAAAACAUGAAAUCGUGAAUACAUUACAUUUAACUAGUCUUUUCUUCGCAUUAGCGAAAAUUAUUUAUGUAUGUAUUAAAAUCAUUCUCAAAUGAGAUAAAUGUUAUGUAAACUCAACCGAAGAUGCUAAAUUUAAUAUCUUGAGUUAAUGUGGAAAACGUCUACCAGAAGGCCAAAAAUAUUUAGGGAAAUGAGGUUUGGACGAAGGUCUAGGUCAACUCCAUUCAUAUUCACCGCUAAACCACAUAAUUUUUAUAACAGCUUCAAUAUUCAAAUAACGAAAAUCAUUAAAUAUGAUAUGGGCCAAUUCGUAGACCAAUUUCACAUACUUUAUUCAAUAUUAUACGUUCAGUUAAUUUCGGUAAUAUAUCAUAUAUGUAUAUUGAUUUAUAUAUACAUAUAUAGUAUAAAGCCAAACGGACGUUUGAAAAUCUUUGUUAGGU